rnacentral:rRNA from 1 species
UACGGGGGGGGCAAGCGUUGUUCGGAAUUACUGGGCGUAAAGGGCUCGUAGGCGGCCAACUAAGUCAGACGUGAAAUCCCUCGGCUUAACCGGGGAACUGCGUCUGAUACUGGAUGGCUUGAGUUUGGGAGAGGGAUGCGGAAUUCCAGGUGUAGCGGUGAAAUGCGUAGAUAUCUGGAGGAACACCGGUGGCGAAGGCGGCUAACUGGUCCGGUACUGACGCUGAGGUGCGAAAGCGUGGGGAGCAAACAGG